GGGGGCGACUCGGUUUCGACGUGGAUUACGAAACCUGAGGUGCAUGCCGAGGAUGUAGCUGACCUCGUAAAAUACGCUGCAAACAUAUAGUUGCAAACGAUGACAACUACGCUUUAGCUGCUUAAAAACCAGUCUAAUGCCGUCCGACUAGUUCAGCUUGCGGUUCUAACUCGGGCGUAACCUCAGUAAGCUCGUGGUGAAGUCUGCCUGAGGCGGAUCCAUUAAAACCUUUUCAGGCUCGUGCUUACAGCCCCUGUUCGUCGGGUCGUAAGGAUUAAAACAAUGACGAUACUAAGCAUGUAGUACCAACGGCAGAGAAUUUGCGGACGCGGGUUCGAUUCCCGCCGCCUCCACCA
rnacentral:tmRNA from 1 species